CCUACGGGGGGCAGCAGUGAGGAAUAUUGGUCAAUGGACGUAGGUCUGAACCAGCCAUGCCGCGUGCAGGAAGACGGCUCUAUGAGUUGUAAACCUCUUUUGUACGGGGGUAAACGCAGAUACGCGUAUCUGUCUGAAAGUAUCUUACGAAUAAGGAUCGGCUAACUCCGUGCCAGCAGCCGCGGUAAUACGGAGGAUUCAAGCGUUAUCCGGAUUUAUUGGGUUUAAAGGGUGCGUAGGCGGUCGGAUAAGUCAGCGGUGAAAUCCCGAGGCUCAACUUGGGAAUUGCCUUUGAUACUGUUAGGCUAGAGAGUAGUUGCGGUAGGCGGAAUGUGUGGUGUAGCGGUGAAAUGCUUAGAGAUCAUACAGAACACCGAUUGCGAAGGCAGCUUACCAAGCUACGUCUGACGUUGAGGCACGAAAGCGUGGGGAUCAAACAGGAUUAGAUACCCGAGUAGUC
rnacentral:rRNA from 1 species